UCCGGCUUAAUUCGAUGCAACGCGAAGAACCUUACCUGGCCUUGACAUGUAUCUAGUAGAAGGGUGAAAGCCUGACGAGAUAGCAAUAUCAGGAUACACAGGUGCUGCAUGGCUGUCGUCAGCUCGUGUCGUGAGAUGUUGGGUUAAGUCCCGCAACGAGCGCAACCCUUAUGUCCUGUUGCCACUUGAACGAGAGUUCGAAGCACUCUGGACAGACUGCCUCGCUUAAACGAGGAGGAAGGUGGGGAUGACGUUAGGAUAG
rnacentral:misc_RNA from 1 species